rnacentral:rRNA from 1 species
AGAGUUUGAUCAUGGCUCAGGAUGAACGCUAGCUACAGGCUUAACACAUGCAAGUCGAGGGGAAACGACAUCGAAAGCUUGCUUUUGAUGGGCGUCGACCGGCGCACGGGUGAGUAACGCGUAUCCAACCUGCCCAUCACUUGGGGAUAACCUUGCGAAAGUAAGACUAAUACCCAAUGACGUCUCUAGAAGACAUCUGAAAGAGAUUAAAGAUUUAUCGGUGAUGGGAUGGGGAUGCGUCUGAUUAGCUUGUUGGCGGGGUAACGGCCACCAAGGCGACGAUCGAGUAGGGGUUCUGAGAGGAAGGUCCCCCANAUUGGAACUGAGACACGGUCCAAACGUCUUACGGGAGCA